UACGUAUGGUGCAAGCGUUAUCCGGAUUUACUGGGUGUAAAGGGAGCGUAGACGGCUGUGCAAGUCUGAAGUGAAAGGCCGGGGCCCAACCCCGGGAGUGCUUUGGAAACUGUGCGGCUAGAGUGUCGGAGAGGCAAGUGGAAUUCCCAGUGUAGCGGUGAAAUGCGUAGAUAUUGGGAGGAACACCAGUGGCGAAGGCGUCUUGCUGGACGAUGACUGACGUUGAGGCUCGAAAGCGUGGGGAGCAAACAGG
rnacentral:rRNA from 1 species